UUCAAACUGUACGUGCUAGGUGCUUCCCUUUGGAUACGAAGAUGAAGUCCUCGUAGAUUCCUAUUGAAUCAUAAUUGACCCACUUUCAGACGACUUCCCACCGCCGACGGAAGUCAAAGGUCGUCGGCAUUUGAUCGCCGGACUUAGUGAAAUAAUAACAGUAGUAGUUUUUUUCCCGGCGAUUCCAUUCAAAAUGAAGAGCAGAGGGAAAUCAGUCAUCGGAGGAUGGUGGAACCUAGGCUUGCCUUCCGUAUUUCUCUUAUGUCUCUUCUUCUUCCUCCUCGGAUUAUUCGCUUCUGCUCUCUUCUCUCAGCAGGAUGUACCUAAUGUAAGGCCGAGGGUGCUAGAAUCUGUUGAUAUGGAGAAGGACUUUGAUCCCUUGCCUACCGGUGAGACUGGAGACCAUUCCUUCACUUCCAUCCCCUUUCAGGUUUUAAGCUGGUUCCCACGUGCAUUAUACUUUCCCAAUUUUGCAUCUAUAGAACAAUGCCAGAGCAUAAUUAAGAUAGCAAAGGCAAGUUUGGAACCGUCAUCCUUGGCCCUUCGCAAAGGAGAAACAGAAGAGACCACCAAGGGAAUUAGAACAAGUUCUGGCACAUUUAUUAGUGCAUCAGAAGACAAAACUGGAAUCUUGGAUUUUAUUGAGGAGAAAAUUGCAAAAGCGGCAAUGAUCCCCAAGACACAUGGUGAGGCGUUUAAUGUUUUGCGGUACGAAAUUGGGCAAAGAUAUCAGUCACAUUAUGAUGCUUUUGAUCCUGCUCAAUAUGGCCCUCAGAAGAGUCAAAGGGUUGCAUCCUUCUUAUUAUAUUUAUCCGAUGUUGAAGAAGGUGGGGAAACUGUGUUCCCUUUUGAGAACGCGCAGAACAUGGAUGGUAAAUAUGAUUUCAGCAAGUGUAUUGGUUUGAAAGUGAAGCCACGCAGAGGGGAUGGACUUCUAUUCUACUCACUGCUUCCAAAUGGUACAAUUGAUCUGGUUUGCUGGAAUACAAGGCAAACUUCGUGCCAUCUGUAGCUGCUAGAUUAGAGAUCUGCCACAAUGUACAAUCCCAAAUUAAAAAGCUAAUUGGAUAAACCCCCGAGUUGCUCAAAAACAUGUGUAAGAACCUCACUUCACGGUAGCUGUCCAGUAAUCAGAGGAGAAAAAUGGGUGGCCACCAAGUGGAUCAGGAAUAUAGAACAGGACGAGUAAAUGCCUCUACAUUAUAGUGUUGUUCAUUAUGUAUUUGUUAUAAUUUAAACGGUGUGAAGAAAACAGUUUUGGAGUAAAUAAAUUUAUAGAAUGAGAAUUUAUUUUA